GCGCGUCACCCUGGAGACUCUUUGGAAAGAGCCACCGCUUGGCAAAAAGAAGAAGAAAGAGCGAACAGAGAGCAACGACACGACCAGCUGAGACGGCUAGAAGAAACACACCUCUCUCUCUCUGACUCUCACCUUCCAGUGACACACACUCACACCUGUACGUCUCCUGUAGAUGAAGUCUUUGCGUUAUUCACACACAACCAAACUCAAGUUAUAUAUCCCAGAAACUUCGGGGUGCAAGUCUGUUGACUGUGUGCAUUGUUUCUGAAACUC